AGCGAACGCUGGCGGCAGGCCUAACACAUGCAAGUCGAACGGAUCCUUCGGGAUUAGUGGCGGACGGGUGAGUAACACGUGGGAACGUGCCCUUUGGUUCGGAACAACUCAGGGAAACUUGAGCUAAUACCGGAUGUGCCCUUCGGGGGAAAGAUUUAUCGCCAUUGGAGCGGCCCGCGUAGGAUUAGCUAGUUGGUGGGGUAAAGGCCCACCAAGGCUACGAUCCUUAGCUGGUCUGAGAGGAUGAUCAGCCACACUGGGACUGAGACACGGCCCAGACUCCUACGGGAGGCAGCAGUGGGGAAUCUUGCGCAAUGGGCGAAAGCCUGACGCAGCCAUGCCGCGUGAAUGAUGAAGGUCUUAGGAUUGUAAAAUUCUUUCACCGGGGACGAUAAUGACGGUACCCGGAGAAGAAGCCCCGGCUAACUUCGUGCCAGCCGCCGCAGUAAGAC
rnacentral:rRNA from 1 species